UACGUAGGGUCCAAGCGUUGUCCGGAAUUAUUGGGCGUAAAGAGCGCGCAGGCGGCUUGGUAAGUCGGAUGUGAAAUCCCGAGGCUCAACCUCGGGUCUGCAUCCGAUACUGCCCGGCUAGAGGUAGGUAGGGGAGAUCGGAAUUCCUGGUGUAGCGGUGAAAUGCGCAGAUAUCAGGAGGAACACCGGUGGCGAAGGCGGAUCUCUGGGCCUUACCUGACGCUCAGGCGCGAAAGCUAGGGGAGCGAACUGG
rnacentral:rRNA from 1 species